rnacentral:rRNA from 1 species
GACGUAGGGCGCGAGCGUUGUCCGGAUUUAUUGGGCGUAAAGAGCUCGUAGGCGGCUUGUCGCGUCGUCCGUGAAAACUUGGGGCUCAACCCCAAGCUUGCGGUCGAUACGGGCAGGCUAGAGUUCGGUAGGGGAGACUGGAAUUCCUGGUGUAGCGGUGGAAAUGCGCAGAGUAUCAGGAGGAACACCGGUGGCGAAGGCGGGUCUCUGGGCCGAUACUGACGUGGAGGAAGCGGAAAGCGUGGGGAGCGAAACAGG